rnacentral:tRNA from 1 species
CCUUCGAUAGCUCAGCUGGAAGAGCGUGGGACUGUAAUGGUUACUACUUGUCAUCCCAAGGUCACUGGUUCGAUCCCGGUUCGAAGGA